rnacentral:rRNA from 1 species
AACGAACGCUGGCGGCAGGCUUAAUACAUGCAAGUCGAACGAGAACGCACCUUCGGGUGUUAUUAGAGUGGCGCACGGGUGAGUAACGCGUGGGAAUGUACCAAGAAGUAAGGGAUAACAGUUGGAAACGACUGCUAAUACCUUAUAAUGACUCCGGUCUAAAGAUUUAUCGCUUCUUGAUCAGCCCGCGUAAGAUUAGUUUGUUGGUGGGGUAAUGGCCUACCAAGACUACGAUCUUUAGCUGGUCUGAGAGGAUGAUCAGCCACACUGGAACUGAGACACGGUCCAG